UACGGGGGGAGCAAGCGUUGUUCGGAUUUACUGGGCGUAAAGGGCGCGUAGGCGGUCAGCACAAGUCAGUUGUGAAAUCUCCGAGCUUAACUCGGAAAGGUCAACUGAUACUGUGCGACUAGAGUGCGGAAGGGGCAACUGGAAUUCUUGGUGUAGCGGUGAAAUGCGUAGAUAUCAAGAGGAACACCUGCGGCGAAGGCGGGUUGCUGGGCCGACACUGACGCUGAGGCGCGAAGGCCAGGGGAGCAAACGGG
rnacentral:rRNA from 1 species